rnacentral:ribozyme from 1 species
UGCCCAGCAACUCCUAUCCCUACCUCCUCGUGGUACUGUCCGGGGUACGAGUAACCUUGGGGAAGAUCGGGUAACCAACCCCCGGUCGUAUGCUGACAGGGAAGG